rnacentral:rRNA from 1 species
GAUGAACGCUAGCGGCAGGCUUAACACAUGCAAGUCGAGGGGCAGCGAGAUUGUUAGCAAUAACGAUUGUCGGCGACCGGCGCAAGGGUGCGUAACGCGUGAGCAACUUGCCCGUUUCUGGGGGAAUAACCGUUGGAAACGACGACUAAUACCCCAUAGUAUCCUUUGGAGGCAUCUCUUUGGGAUUAAAGAAAUUCGGAAACGGAUAGGCUCGCGUGACAUUAGAUAGUAGGCGGGGUAACGGCCCACCUAGUCUACGAUGUCUAGGGGUUCUGAGAGGAAGGUCCCCCACACUGGAACUGAGACACGGUCCAGACUCCUACGGGAGGCAGCAGUGAGGAAUAUUGGUCAAUGGUCGGAAGACUGAACCAGCCAAGUAGCGUGAAGGAUGAAGGUUCUAUGGAUUGUAAACUUCUUUAUACGGGAAUAAAACCUCCCACGUGUGGGAGCUUGUAUGUACCGUAUGAAUAAGCAUCGGCUAACUCCGUG